rnacentral:rRNA from 1 species
UACGGGGGGAGCAAGCGUUGUUCGGAUUUACUGGGCGUAAAGGGCGCGUAGGUGGCCUUUUGAGUCAGACGUGAAAUCCCCCGGCUUAACCUGGGAACUGCGUCUGAUACUGGAAGGCUUGAGUUCGGGAGAGGGAUGUGGAAUUCCAGGUGUAGCGGUGAAAUGCGUAGAUAUCUGGAGGAACACCGGUGGCGAAGGGAGCCAUCUGGACCGACACUGACGCUGAGGCGCGAAAGCGUGGGGAGCAAACGGG